GACGGAGGAUGCAAGCGUUAUCCGGAAUCAUUGGGCGUAAAGCGCGUGUAGGCGGUUCCGUAAGUCCGCUCUGAAAGCCCAGGGCUCAACCCUGGGAGGCGGGUGGAUACUACGGAACUGGAGUACGGAAGAGGAGAUUGGAAUUCCUGGUGUAGCGGUGAAAUGCGCAGAUAUCAGGAGGAACACCAACAGCGAAGGCAGAUCUCUGGGACGUUACUGACGCUGAGACGCGAAAGCGUGGGGAGCAAACAGG
rnacentral:rRNA from 1 species